rnacentral:lncRNA from 1 species
UGUGGUAAAACACUUCUGGCCAAAGCUAUUGCCAAUGAAUGUCAGGCAAACUUCAUUAGUGUCAAGGGUCCAGAAUUACUCACAAUGUGGUUUGGAGAGAGUGAAGCUAAUGUGCGUGAAAUUUUUGACAAGGCUCGCCAGUCUGCUCCUUGUGUCCUCUUCUUUGAUGAACUUGAUUCAAUUGCAACCCAGGUGUGUUCAAGGCUAAUGAAUUCUCAUGUCUUUAUGGAUUAUGAGUUUCGUUCUGUGUUAUGAGAUUACUCUAGAAUGAAAUUAUGCUUGUCAAUAUUCGAUGUUCUUAGUCUUGCAUGUCUUCUAACCGAGCUUCAUGUUAUAUACUGUAGAGAGGAAGCAGUGUAGGUGAUGCUGGGGGUGCUGCUGAUAGGGUUCUGAAUCAACUUCUUACUGAGAUGGAUGGCAUGUCUGCCAAGAAAACAGUUUUUAUAAUUGGAGCCACCAACCGACCUGACAUUAUUGAUCCUGCCCUUUUGCGACCCGGUCGUCUUGAUCAGUUGAUCUACAUUCCCCUCCCUGAUGAGGAUUCUCGCCAUCAGAUCUUUAAGGCUUGCUUGAGGAAAUCACCACUUGCAAAAGAGGUUGACCUCAGAGCUCUUGCCAAGUAUACUCAAGGUUUUAGUGGGGCUGAUAUUACUGAAAUUUGUCAGCGCGCAUGUAAAUAUGCCAUCAGAGAGAACAUUGAAAAGGUUCGACUAUGCCAAAUUUAUGUUCUGUGCUGUAGAUGGUAGAAUGUGCAAUGUUCUCAUGAGGUUGGGAUUAUAACAUUAGAUAUCUUAUGUAAUUCUCAGGAUAUUGAGAGAGAAAGGAGGAGAGCGGAGAACCCUGAAGCUAUGGAGGAAGAUGUGGAUGAUGAAGUGGCAGAAAUCAAGCCUGCUCAUUUUGAGGAAUCAAUGAAGUUUGCUCGUAGGAGUGUCAGUGAUGCCGACAUCCGCAAAUACCAGGCAUUUGCUCAAACGCUGCAGCAGUCAAGGGGAUUCGGGAGUGAGUUUAGGUUCGCUGAAACUGGUGCAAGGCCUGCAGCAUCUGACCCUUUUGCAGCUUCCGCUGGAGGAGCCGAUGAAGAUGACCUCUACAGUUAAGAUCAUCUGUCUGUGUCUUUAGUUAUGGUGACAAAAGCGGACCGUUCUUUUUGUUUUUUAAUAUAGUGUAGUAUUAAAUUUGACUGGAUGGAUGUAGAAGCUCCUUGGCACAACCUUUCAGCAGGAGAAAGGGGGGGGGGGGGCUGCCCCUGGGAGUUCAUAAAAUACUGUGCUUUUCCUUUAUUUUGGGAUUUAAAGAUUUUACAAGAUUAAAUUUCUGUGUCCCUUUUGGAUUAUUUUUAUGUUUGUGCGUGUGGUAUAUGAAAUAUGAAUGACAACCAAAUAAGUCCUUGCCUUGAGCUUCACCACCAAUUUGUUGGCUUUAAGAACAUAAAAUUAUUGAUACAACUAUACUAUCGCUGUGACUCCUGUUUGCAGUCAUUUUCUUAAAACAAAAUAGAGGGUAAAGUUUUCUGUCCUAUAACAAAUAUGACUAAAUUCGUUGAAUUUCUUAUGAAACAAGUGUAAAACAUUGAGGGAUAUUUUACCUAUCAAAAGUAGUUCAAAACUGAAGAAAUUAAUUGUUUUUGUGAUAAAUUGAGAAUUUAAGAAUUAAUAGUUAUACUUAAAAUUUUAAAGAAUUGAGAGUUAUUAUGUUAUUAUACUUAAAAACUGCAAUUUAAAAGAUAAUACUAAAAGAACCAAUAAACUAAAAUAAAGAGAAUUGAAAAAAUUUACCAUUUGCGUCUUAUUAUGUUUAAAGGAUUGACUAAUAAUCUUAAUUUUUGUUAAUUCAUUUUUUUAAUAGAUUAUCAAACAUGGUUUAAAUUAUUCCAUUUUCUAAAAAGCGAUUAAUUACCUGAGAGCGACGACAGAAUUAAACUAGUUCAGUAGUUUGCAUAGUUAUAUGAUUCACAGGUUAAUUAGUGCAUCAAUUAAAAAUAUAUUUAAUUAUUUUGUGAUUUUAAUAAUAAAUUUUUAAAUAAAUAUUAGUUUUAAAAAUUCCAAAAACACAACUUUUAAAAUUUUCAUUUAAAGUAUGAAACUGCUUAAAUUUAAUAAAAAUAUAGUUUUUCUAUUAUAAGAACUGUAUCAAAUUUGUUGUUUUAUAAUUAAAAUGGAUCAAUUUAGUCCUUAUACUAUUAAAAAGAAUCGUAAUAAGUUCAAUUGCAGUUCAAUUCUAAACAAAAAAAAAUUUCACUAACAAAAUCAUAAAAACUUUAAAUAUUAACUCUAUCAAGCAGUAAAUGACAUUUUUUAUAUAAUAAAUGUUAACUCUAUUCUAAUUUGAUCUUUAUUUAAUUCUUUUUAAUGGUUGAGAGUAAUAAUAGGACUAAUUUGACCAGGUUCCUAUCUCAAGUACAUAAACUAAAAAUACAAUUAUAAUGUUUUAAAUAUUUUUAUAUAGAUUUAUUAAUUUAAAAUACUUAUGGGAAAUAUAUUUUUAUUGAAAUCAAAUUCAUAGGUAUAAAUAGUUUGAAAAAGUUCGAAAAUGUCUAAAAAUUAAAUUUGAUUAUAAUUUAAGAUAUACUCUUUUCUUAUAAAUAUUUUUAUUUUUUAAAUAAUAUUUUUGUUUAUACGAUGAUGAUUUAAACCUAAACUAUUGUUAAGGUAGAUGAACACUCGAUUAAGAGGCCACAAUUUAGAGUUUUUUUUUAAAUUAAUGUAAAUACCUUUUUAAUUUUAUUUAAUUUAUUUUUUAAAUAUAUUUAAUUAAAAAAAUUAAAAAUUAAAAAAAAACUUUUUAAACAUUUUAAAAUUUUAACAUUAUCUAAAAAUUUUAUUGAAGUUUUUACAUUUAAAGGAAUAGAUUUAACCUAGUAUUAAUUAAAUAUUAAAUAAUUAAUGAGUCAAUAUUUAUAAAUGUUUUGUUUUACUUACAACAACCGUUAAGGACAUAUGUAUACAAACAAUAUUAAUGUGAAUUUUAUUUAAACCAACCUAUUCGAAACAUUAGAAAUAUAAAUAAUGAAUAAACUAUACUUAAAACAUUAGAUCCUAACAUAUUGAUCUAUCUUUAUGUGAAACAUAUUGAAUUUUAUUUAAACGGUUAAUAAAAUUUUAUUUUUAAAUAAAUUAUCUACUACUAAAGUCGCGAUCCAUCAUUAUAUGAAACAUGUCGUGGUAGCAACCCUUAGAAUUAAUUUGUUUUGAUAUAUAAGCUCCUCCUCCAAUUGUUUUUGUUAAAUAUUGGGCUAUAAUUGAAUUUUUUAAUAAACUCAUUAAAUAAUUUCAAUCAUAUUGGGAGAGAAUAUCAAGCUCUACAACACUAUCAAUAACGAUUUGAUUUUUGUUGGUGUCAAAAAAUUCAGUUUGGUCAAAUUUUUUUAAACCGAGAGAACCCAAAGUACGAGUUAGUCUGAAUUCUUCUGACAACAGAUGUGACGUUUUGUAUUCAAAAUCGGCGACUCCAUUGAUGUGAAGUGUAACACUACUUUACCGAAAACACCAGUUUACAGAAAAGCUCUUGUCCAAACACACCCAAGCAAAACGAAUGUGCUGAAUGAAAACACUGCUACAUUACUGAAACAGGUCGAGCUUAGUUAUACCAUUCAUCUGUACCACCAAAAUAUUGAGAUCAGGCCUUUGCCACUAUCGUUUAUGCAAUAAACCAUUUACCUUCUCCAAAGCUAAACCACACAUCACCUUAUCAACUAAUUUUUCAACGUAAUGGAGGAUAUAAUUUUGUUCGUGUUUUUUGUUAUUGUUAUUAUCCAUGGCUUCGUCUUUGCACUAAAAAUAAACGGGAGCCUCGUUCUACCAAAUGUGCCUUUCUUGGUUAUAGAAUUGUUGAUAAAGGAUAUAAAUGUUUGCUAUUAUCUAACAAUAAAGUUUUUUACUCGUCAUGUCUUAUUUGAUGAACAAAUGUUCUCGAGAAUGUGAUGAGCAAUCUUUAGUUCUCGGUCCACUGCUAUCACCAAUUUCUAUUUUCUCUCUUGCCUAUCAUGAUCAAAACCAACACCCCAUGGUUACUAGAUCAAUAACUGGCAACUUAAAAUACGAAGUCUUUCAUACGACACUCAUCGCCUUGUGCACAUAUCAAGAGGCAACCAAACAACAAUGGCAAAUGGGACAUGGGAUUUAGUGCCAAGAUCAUGAGCAGCAAAUGUGAUUGGUUGCAAAUGGAUUUAUCGCAUCAAAACCAAACCGUGUGGCUCAAGGGUUUCAUAAAAAGCCAGACAUAAACUAUGCUGAAACCUUCAGCCCUGUCAUCAAACCAGCCACGGUUCGUCUCGUCUUAUCUAUUAUUGUCCACUCUAGUUGGCGUAUCCAAUGCAUUUUUACAUGGGACGCUUGAAAAGUUGGUUUACAUAGAACAACCCCAAGGUUUUAGAGAUCUCACCAAGCCACACCAUGUGUGUUCUUUAAAGAAGUCCUUACACGGUUUGAAACAAGCCCCGUGAGCUUAAUUUUCUUGUAUCACAUUGGGAUUACAAAAAAAUGGUUUCAAAGGAUCCAAAGCUGACAACUCCCUUUUUAUCUAUUCUUUUGGAAAUAACACUGCUUAUUACCUUGUGUAUGUUGAUGAUAUCAUUUUGACAGACUCAAUGCCAAGUCUUCAUCAAAAUAUCAUUCGACAGCUUGGGUUAAAGGUUUGGGUUCCCUUAUUUUCUUGGUGUAGAAGUCACUUGACUACCUAAUGGACUUCAACUCUCUCAAUCUAAGUAUAUUUGAGAUCUUUUGGUGCGUGUGAAUAUGCAUGAAGCUACCCCUGUCUCUAUACCAUUUUUUCCACAAACAAUAUUAGCAGCCAUGUACACUUCCAACAACUUUGAUCCUAUAUCAUUUCAGCAGGUGGUGAAUUCUCUUUAAU